CUUCAGGCGCUGUGGCUUGGAAAUGGUGUCACACUGUAGUGGCUGUGAUGCCAAGAGUCCUUUGGCGCUGUCCGACUGUAAACUGUCAAACCACUGAAGAACAUUUUGACGUUACCUGUCAUUGUUGAGUGCCCUUGCUGGCAUGAUAAAGCAGAAACUAAUAAUUUCAUAUUAUAAUACCAAUUCAAACUAAUUUGAGACAUUACUCAUUGACUGAGAGCUGUAAGCAGUUUGACAAUAUACCACUAGAUGGCACCAGUGGGCUCCAGGUACUAUAGCCACAAUAACAUGCUGUAAUGGUUAACAUCAGUCAUACCUCCCAACUCCAGCGUUCUGUGAAUCAGGAUGAGAAGUGGGAAAGGGAUGGGCCGUGUCACUGGCACCAUCCUAAGGGAGCAGAUUCAUGCAGCAAGAGGGUUCUGCCUGAAGGAUUGGCAGCCAGCCCACUGAGGGCAAGCAGUGCAGGGAGCAAGCUAUGUUUGUUGGGGACAGGUCCCUGGUUUACCCAAAAGUCUGACACCAGGGGACUAAGUUGGGACAGCGACAAUUAGGACGAUUGGGAGGCAUUCUCACAGCUUAGAGGGAGUACAGAGAGUGAUUUGUACCAG